UUCCGGAGCUGGGGACCAAACCCAGGGCCUUGCGCUUCCUAGGUAAGCGCUCUACCACUGAGCUAAAUCCCCAGCCCCUCAAACCUGAUUUUGAACUCUGUCAUUUAUACAUGGGAAAGAAGCAUCGAGCUGUGCAAUGGUUGCAGAUCAAGCACUCGGCAACUUUUCUACUCACACAACUGCUAAUAGUUUUCAUGGAGAAACAAUCAUUCUACACAGUGGGAGCAUAGCUGGUCAUUGAGGAGCCAGCGCUGGGGCUUUGCACAGGAACAGUUAGCAGAGUGACAUGUUGGUCCUAGAGUGACAUCUAGCUUGUGGGUACUUUGAGAGGAGUUCAGUGAGCCUGUCACAUAGAAACCUCUGACUCAGGUCGUCCUAGGCCUAUCCUGCUGCUGCUUCCAUGGCUACGGCUGCUUCCAAUUCUCUCAGCAGCUCCCUUAGAACAGCAGCACUGAUGUCCAAGCCAGAAAUAAACUUGUCUCCUUGUCCUGGGUGACGGAGGUCUCAGGUCACCUCAAGCCCAUCUAUUGUCCCAACUGAAUUGCAGUCUGUCUGAAGCACCUUGUCACCUUGGUUAAUUUUGUGCGGUCUUUCUAGGCUGCUGGAAGUCCCCUCAGGUGGCCUCACUGUCAUUCCUGCAAAGGAUCACUUCCCCUCCCCCAACCGCACCCCCUAGCAGUGAAAUAUUUUCUGUGUUCUGAAGUUUCCUUCGUCUCAGCUCUGUUUUGUUUUGUUUUGAAUCUUAUCUGGAAGUUAAGAUGCUUCCAGUUGUGGAUCAUGGUCUUGUACCUGUUCUGGAACAUUCGCCAUUCAAGGUGAGGUGCCAUGCAAGUGUCUGAUGCUUUCCCCUGCAUCCAGCUGACCGUGGUCCCUGCUGCACUCUGGUUAGUGUCUUCUCAUCAGCUUUAGUUGCUGAUUUGUCUCUGGUGCAGCCCCAUCACCAGGUCCAUGAUUUGUGUGACCACCUUUUUUUCACGCACUUUGCACUUUGGAUCAUCUUGAGGUUUUGGGGUGCUCAUCAGGAAUUCUUUGGAAUUUUGUCAGAUUUCCUGGUAAUUGGCCUGAGGUGUUUAAUCUGCUUGCCUAGCUGAAGUGGCACCUGCCUGCCCGGUCUGUGCUUUGUGGCCUUCCCUGCCCACACUGUCCAGCCUCCUUUGGGAGGAAGGCUGCCUUCACCCCUGCUGGCGAAUCUGAGCCACGCAGCUCUUGCUGUGUCCUUUUAACCUUUGUCCACGCCAAUGCCGACCUGUGAUUAUUUGCACCUGCACUUGGUUGGCCCACGCUAUUUGGAACCUGCCAUGGAACGUGGUCUUAGGAAACCUGAGUGGGAGUAAGUGCGAUCCCUGCUGCUGGGUGGACAUUCUGUCAGGAGCCUGCGGUGCUCAGUGUGCUCGAGCUGUGAGUGGAGCUAAGCCAGAGCCAUCCAUGCCCAUUCAAUUAGUGACUCAAUGGUUCUGACAUCCUCACCCCAACCCUGAUGUCUUUGUUAUCUGCUACCUGUAUCCUGGAGCCCUUUGUUUACAACCAUUGAGGCAAGGAAUUAAUUUUUGUCACCUUUUAAAGAUUUUACGUGGGGGAGGGGUGGUUGAGUCAGGCAGUGGUGACUCAUGCCAUUAAUCCCAGCACUCAGGAGUCAGAGGCAGGCAGAUCUCUGAGUUCCAGGCCAGCCUGGUCUACAGAGUGAGUUUCAGGACAUUCAGAGCUGCACAGAGAAACCCUGUCUGGAAAAAAACCAACUCAAACAAACCAAACCACUUAUGUUUUGGCUUCAUGUAUGACUGUGCCCCUGUGCACGCAGUGCCCACAAAGGCCAGAAGGGGGCGUUAGAUAACCCAGAACUGGUGCUCUCAACUACUCUGCCCGCCCCCCCCCCCCCCUCUCUUUUUUUCAGAGCUGGGGACCGAACCCAGGGUCUUGCGCUUGCUGGGCAAGCGCUCUACCACUGAGCUAAAUCCCCAACCCUGCUCUGCCCCUCUUUUUUUUUUUUUUUGGUUCUUUUUUUCGGAGCUGGGGACCGAACCCAGGGCCUUGCGCUUCCUAGGUAAGCGCUCUACCACUGAGCUAAAUCCACAGCCCCUGCUCUGCCCCUCUUUAAGAAAAAAUUAUUGUGUGCACAUAAACACAGCACAUGUGAAAGUCAGAGAAAAACUUAGAGGAAUCAGUAAUCUACUAUGUGAGAUCUGGGAGUCAAACUCAAGUUUUCAGGCCUGGCUUUAGUCACUUCUACCAGUCGAGCCCUUUUUUCCAUUUUGUUUGGCUUUUAGAGGCAGGGUCUUGUUCUGUAGCCCAAGCUGGCCUGGAACUUGUGCAGCACAUACGACUCCAAAAAUGUACGAGCAGCCUUCCGCACGGGUGUUUCUAGGCAGAAUGGACAUCAGUCACUGGUACUGGAGGACUUGUCUUUUUCCAUGGUUUAUGUUCUACAUUCGUGGUUCCCAACCUGUAGACUUUGGCCCCUUUGAGGUGUUGAAUGAGCCUUUGACAGUCUCUCUUUUUUUUUUUUUUUUUGGUUCUUUUUUUUUUUUCGGAGCUGUGGACCGAACCCAGGGCCUUGCGCUUCCUAGGCAAGCGCUCUACCACUGAGCUAAAUCCCCAACCCCCCUUUGACAGUCUCUUAAGACUGUCCUGAAUAUCAGAUAUUUAUGUUAUAAUUUAUAACACUAGGGAAAUCAGUUUAUGACACAGUGACAUUAAUUUUAUGGUUGGGUGUCACCACGUGAGGAACUCCAUUAAAGUGUUGCAGCAGUAGGAAGGUUGAGAACCGCUGCUCUAGAUCUUAUUGGUGGCAGCCAAUUAUUUCCAGCUUUUGCAAGCCAAUAGUAUAGUUUCCCAGGCACAGUGAGCCCACUUGGGAGGUGGAGGCAACAGGAAGGGCAGGUUCAGCUGUAUACGGAGUUCGGGGUGAGCCUCUACCUACACAACUAAAAUGGAUUCUUCUUGUCUGAACGUAUUUGGGAAACUGCAAAGUGAAGUGUUGGGUAUGGGCACUUAAAAAUUGAUCUGAAUGAGUUUGGUCCCCAGCUCCGAAAAAAAGAAAAAAAAAAUAGAUCUGAAGCUGGGCAUGGUGAUGCAGGCCUUUAAUCCCAGCACUGGGGAGGUAGGAACAGCCUGUGAGUUUGAGGCCAGCCUGACGAGUUUUAGACCACAGUAUGAGACUUAAAGCAAAACAAAACAAAAAACACUGGGGCUUGGGGAUAAGCAACCCCCUCAAGAGUGGCCAGACGGGCUGGAGAGAUGGCUCAGCGGUUAAGAGCACCCGACUGCUCUUCCAGAGGUCAUGAGUUCAAUUCCCAGCAACCACAUGGUGGCUCACAACCAUCUGUAAAGAGAUCCGAUGCCCUCUUCUGGUGUGUCUGAAGACAGCUACAGUGUACUUAUAUAUAAUAAAUUAAAUCUUUAAAAAAAAAAAAAAAAAAAAAAAACUUGGAACUUGCCAUUGUAGACCUGGCUGGCCUCAAACUCAGAGAUAUCCAUUUACUUCCUCCAUGAGAACUAAGAUGGAAAUUUAAAAAAUACUCACUCAUAGUAAAAUACUGAAACUUCACUCAUCUAACACUGCUAGUUUUCUAACCUCUUUGCAUUCAUUAACUAUUAUUUAAUGAGUACUCUAAGGUUGAUGAGUUUUAUAGAGCUUCAUAUGUUUAAAAAAUAAUAAUUAGUAGAUUUCCUUUUGGGUAACAUGAACAUCAGUGCUGCUUGGUUUAAACUGAGUGUUUUAUCUUGAUGAUUAAGCUUAAUCAACUCAUCACUAGGAAACAUUAUUAUUCCAUAAAAGUUGUCUCAGUCUCUAUUCGCCAUUUGUAGUCAUGACUUUCCUGUGGCUCUGAUCAGUUACCUGGCAGAUUAUUAGGUAGAGGGAGGAAGGUUUAUUUUACUUAAUUGUAUCAUGGUGAGAAGGCAUAAUGGUGUUCAUGAUGGCAGGAGCAUGAGACAGGCAGCCUGCUUACAUCUUUUUGGAGAAGAAAGUAGGGAGCAAGUGCUUUGCCAGAUACUUAGGAGAGACUAUGAUCCUCAGGAUCCAUCCCCCAGGGACUCAUGUCUCUCCGCUGGACCUCAUCUUUUAAUGGUCCGAAACCUUACAAAACAGUCUCAUAAUUUGGGGACCAGGUGGGGACACUGCUUAUUCAAACUGUAGUACCAUGUAUUCAGGCACCUUUAAAUUAAUUCCUAAGCCCUAACCAUCUAAGAGAUUCAGGGAUCAACUCCAAAAUACACCAAGGAACAUGCCAACUAACAUAUGGGACAGUUAGGACAAUGUCAGGAGAAUGUCUUUAGUAAACUUUGAAGUACAGGCUGACAGGAACCGGAUGUAGAUCUCUCCCGAGAGACACAGCCAGAAUACAGCAAACACAGAGGCGUAUGCCAGCAGCAAACCAUGGAACUGAGAAUGGGACCCCCGUUGAAGGAUUCAGAGAAAGGACUGAAAGAGCUUGAAGGGGCUUGAGACCCCAUAUGAACAACAAUGUCAACCAACCAGAGCUUCCAGGGACUAAGCCACUACCCAAAGACUAUACAUGGACUGACCCUGGACUCUGACCUCAUAGGUAGCAAUGAAUAGCCUAGUAAGAGCACCAGUGGAAGGGGAAGCCCUGGGUCCUGCUAAGACUGAACCCCCAGUGAACGGGAUUGUUUCGGGG
rnacentral:lncRNA from 1 species